rnacentral:rRNA from 1 species
UACGUAGGGUGCGAGCGUUGUCCGGAAUUAUUGGGCGUAAAGGGCUCGUAGGCGGUUUGUCGCGUCUGCCGUGAAAGUCCGGGGCUCAACUCCGGAUCUGCGGUGGGUACGGGCAGACUAGAGUGAUGUAGGGGAGACUGGAAUUCCUGGUGUAGCGGUGAAAUGCGCAGAUAUCAGGAGGAACACCGGUGGCGAAGGCGGGUCUCUGGGCCGAUACUGACGCUGAGGAGCGAAAGCGUGGGGAGCGAACAGG